UCAUCACACUUUCUUCCUACCUUUCACC
rnacentral:piRNA from 1 species